rnacentral:rRNA from 1 species
UACAGAGGGUGCGAGCGUUAAUCGGAAUUACUGGGCGUAAAGCGCGCGUAGGCGGCUUUGCAAGUCGGGUGUGAAAUCCCCAGGCUUAACCUGGGAACUGCAUUCGAGACUGCAUUGCUAGAGUAUGGGAGAGGGAAGUGGAAUUUCCGGUGUAGCGGUGAAAUGCGCAGAUAUCAGGAGGAACACCGGUGGCGAAGGCGGGUCUCUGGGCCGAUACUGACGCUGAGGAGCGAAAGCUAGGGGAGCAAACGGG